GACGAACGCUGGCGGCGUGCUUAACACAUGUAAGUCGAACGGAAAGGCCCUGCUUUUGUGGGGUGCUCGAGUGGCGAACGGGUGAGUAACACGUGAGUAACCUGCCCUUGACUUUGGGAUAACUUCAGGAAACUGGGGCUAAUACCGGAUAGGAGCUCCUGCUGCAUGGUGGGGGUUGGAAAGUUUCGGCGGUUGGGGAUGGACUCGCGGCUCAUCAGCUUGUUGGUGGGGUAGUGGCUUACCAAGGCUUUGACGGGUAGCCGGCCUGAGAGGGUGACCGGCCACAUUGGGACUGAGAUACGGCCCAGACUCCUACGGGAGGCAGCAGUGGGGAAUAUUGCACAAUGGGCGGAAGCCUGAUGCAGCAACGCCGCGUGCGGGAUGACGGCCUUCGGGUUGUAAACCGCUUUCGCCUGUGACGAAGCGUGAGUGACGGUAAUGGGUAAAGAAGCACCGGCUAACUACGUG
rnacentral:rRNA from 1 species